CUACAUUCCUAACGUAUACUAUCUUUGUACAAGAUACAUACGUUCUAAAUAAAAUCAAUCUAGAUUUGGUAUCAGGAACGAAUCGUCGCUUAAUUGGCCGCAAGAUAAAUGAAGAUUGCAGACACAAAGAAGCCCGGAAACACCUUAUGAAGAUAUUCAUAGGAUUUUUUAUGAUAAAAGAUAGAUUGUCACAUUCUUGUGACACCAGGAGUUUCAAUAGAAUAUACUCUUUCCUGUAGGGAUAUGAUGUACAAAGUUCUUCUGAAAUCAGAGAUAAGUAAAAACGCAAACUUUCCAGGCAGCCGUACUCGGAUGAAAAUUGAAAUAAAAAUUUGUUCAGCAGCCAAUUCACAAAGUGUGGCUGUCACGAAAUUCCGCAUCGAAGCGGAAUCCUAAUAAGAAUCGAGGGCACUGUAAGAAUUUAAAUAUCCCGCGCAUACAUAAUACAGAAAAUCGUGGGCCGGGUCAGGUGAAAUAAUAUUACGUUCGGCAUCGAACUCCUUGCGAGAAAACACAUUAAGGAUUCAUCAAUUUUUAAUUUAUUUUCAAUACUACUAUUCUAAAGAAUGAUUUAAUCAAUAGAGUGACUAUAUAUAAAGGCCUGCCUGCAUACGUCAUAUGUUACACGUUACGCGUAUGGUGAUAAUGAACGUGCGUAACUUCCGCUUUACACGUAUCUGAACAAUUAAUCGUUUCGCGUAGCUUGACGGGCAAAUUUUAUUGACAGUCACGCCCUAAGCUCCUGGUAAAUAUAGCAAUGACAGUUUACCGCUGUAGCGUCUCCUGCCAACAGGCAUUGGCAUUUCUGACCGCACAGGCUGGAUUGUAUCUAUGCAAUUAUGAUAUAAUAUAAAGAUAUAUAUAGAUUAUUUAAAUAAUUGCGAAAUUUCUUUAUGAAGAAAUCAAAUAACGAUGAUCAAUCGUCCAUACAAAAAAUCGGAUCAAUUGGUAUUUUUGUAAAUUUGUAUAAAUUGACCCAUCCCAAUACUGUGGUAUUUUUUUUCAAAGUUUAAAGCGACUGUGAUAAUUUUUAAAAUCAAGCCUUGAACUAUUCACGGUGUCUGCUUGACAGAUAUUUGAAGCUUAUCGAGAUAUCCUCUUUUGACAUUGACCGUAGACUAUUGCAUCUGACACAGAGGGACAAACGCUGCAUUUUACAUUAAUGACUCGCAGUCACGUACCAGAAUACGGCUACUUGACUUUACUGAUUUGCGAGUAAAUACUGUGUAGGGAUUUUUAUAAACUUGUGAAAAACCCCUUAAGAAUCGAUGCGAGUUUUCACGGAGACGGAAUUUUGAUGAGUUUGCGAACGCGGCGAGUAACGCGUCUGACGUUUCUCGCGCGGCACUAAAUUUCUAUCUUGUCUAACCUGUUUGUGUAUUUUAACUUUGUGAAAUGAUUAAGUGCAAAAUGAAAUUCGAAGAUUAUUAAUAAACAGUGGAGUUGUCUAGGAUUUUACUGUCGCAGCCUUCUGCGAUAAAAAUUUCUUCUCACGCCCACCAGGAAGUCUUGAUAUAUUUUUACACAUUUUCAAAUUCUACGCCAUUGCUAUACGAGUAGACCGCAAUCCUAAUUCUUAGCUGUUUGAAUUUACUGUUGUACCGUUGUUGUCUUACUAGAUCUUGUGGCUUGUCACAAUUGCAGAGAAUGCUGUUUGACGGGAUUUUAAAAAAAUUAUUAUUAUUUCACAAAAAUAUUUCAAGGAUUUGAUGAUGGCUGCCAAUCCGGAAUUUACUGUGGAAUUCGUGGGCUUCGAUAAAAUCGUAGCGCGAGUCAUUCCUCUCGGCGAAUAUGAUUCCAUGACAUUGGUAAUUUUAAACAAUCCUCGAAUUGCAUUGUGCAAUUAUGCGAAUUCGUGCAUACGUAGAUUGUAAGAAUUAACGAAGGUAUCAGUGACUACCUAAUAAAUUCAUACGGAUUGGCCAGUUCCUCGAUGUAUUCGAAUUUGGCGCCAAGGUUAUUUUCAUAAACUUCCCUUCCAGGAAUUUCCGUCAUUUUGACAAGAGUCUGAAGGCAAUUUGAGUGAACGUAAAAAUUUAAUGAACCAAAAAUAUAAUCAAGAUAUUCUCCUCGCUCGUUUUUGUUUUAUUAUGAUAAAUUAAAACAGCCAUUAUGAUAGCGCUUAUCAGAAAUCAGUUCCAUCAGUCUCUAUGUACUAUUUAUUAAUAGAUUGAUAUGAAUCAUGCAACAAAUUUUAAUUAUUACAGUUUUAUCUUUCAAUUCCACCUUUGAACGUAUACACAUAAUGUAUAAGACGUACAAGUGAUACGUAAAUUCUAAAAUCUCUAUUACCAAUAUAGGUCGUCACGCUGCUUAAUCUCAUAUCACUAUUUGCCGUAAUUCCUACAAUUUCGCAGAGCAGUCACAAUAGUGAUAUUAAAAAUAUAUAUAUAUAUGUUAUAUUAUUCCCAUUAAAAAAAAAA